CCUACGGGAGGCAGCAGUAAGGAAUAUUGGACAAUGGUCGGAAGACUGAUCCAGCCAUGCCGCGUGAAGGAAGAAGGCGCUCAGCGUUGUAAACUUCUUUUGGAUGGGAAUAAUAACCUCUACGCGAUAGGGGCUUGAAGGUACCAUCAGAAUAAGCACCGGCUAACUCCGUGCCAGCAGCCGCGGUAAUACGGAGGGUGCGAGCGUUAUCCGGAAUCACUGGGUUUAAAGGGUGCGUAGGCGGCCUUAUAAGUCAGUUGUGAAAUAUCCUCGCUUAACGAGGGGACUGCGAUUGAUACUGUAGGGCUUGAAUUGGGUUGAGGCAGGCGGAAUGUGGCAUGUAGCGGUGAAAUGCAUAGAUAUGCCAUAGAACACCAAUUGCGAAGGCAGCUUGCUGGACCUUGAUUGACGCUGAGGCACGAAAGCGUGGGGAGCAAACAGGAUUAGAUACCCUUGUAGUC
rnacentral:rRNA from 1 species